AUCCUCUCAUGGUUGCUAAGUAUGAUUGUUGGGUUUUCACACUACCAUGUGAGAUGUGCCUCCCUCCAACCUUGUUACAGUGUCAGCACAUUACCUAUCUGAAC
rfam:Cavia porcellus supercont2_227 genomic scaffold, whole genome shotgun sequence.